UGGCUAUCUGUCAGGCGGUGGGCGGGUCCCUGAGGCUGCGCUGGGGGCUGAGUGGAUUGUUUGGCGCCUUCCGCAGUGGCGCAGCGAGUGUCUGUCUGAGAAUUCCUGGUCCCUCCUUCUAGAUGCAGGAGUAACUGGACAGAGCCUAAGAGGGAGCCCACUACUCAGACCUGGGCCAGAGACCACAGCUAGCACCAAACUAAGAAGAGCUUCCAGAUGGAUUUUAAAAUUGAAUAUACUUGGGAUAGUUUUCCAGUGAGCCAUGAGCCAGUUCGUAUCAGGCUGAAUCCAUGUGACAAGGGAUUGAAGAUGGAGGUUAGUGCUCCAUUUUUCAAUGAUCCUCCAGCCCCUCUUGGAGAACCAGGAAAGCCUUUCAGUGAACUGUGGAAUUAUGAAGUUGUGGAAGCAUUCUUCUUGAAUAAUACAACUGAGCAGUAUUUAGAAGUUGAACUUUGUCCACAUGGACAACAUUUAGUUCUUUUACUUUCUGGAAGAAGAAAUGUUUGGAAAAAAGAGCUUGCAUUAUCAUUCAAAGUGUCCAGAGGAGAGACUCAUUGGGAAGGUGAAGCUUUUCUUCCUUGGAGUUAUUUUCCAUCAAAAGUGACACGAUUUAACUCAUUUGCAAUCCAUGGAUCAAAUGAUAAAAGAGUUUAUGAAGCGCUUUACCCUGUGCCACAACCUGAGCUGCAACAAGGACAAAAUCCUGACUUCCAUCGUCUAGAAUAUUUCAAGCCUUUCAGUUUUAACACACUGCUUGGAGAAGAGUGGAAGCAGCCAGAAUCAGACCUGUGGCUGAUAGAGAAAUCCGAUAUAUAGGAGUAUAACCAAAAGUGUCAGUCAUUUCUCCUCUGUAUCUUUUAAGGUCAUUGUCCAUCUUUCCUUGGUCUUAUCUGGAAAAACAUACCACAAGAAAACCAGGACAGCUCCAUUUUCUAGCACAUUCUGCCUGCAAGGAAAUCCAGCGUGGGACAUUUGGUGCCGAGAACCCGGGAAAAAAGCCACAUCAUCGCCGGCGCCGAGGGAAGCCUCCAUUCACGGAAAGGGUCUAGAAGCUGCGGGACGCGGAAUGCUACAAGAGUGUGCCAGCUGCCUGAGUGGCUGGUGAGACUUGCUGAUCCUGGGAGCAUGAAGAUUCAGCUCUCCUGGUUCGGGUCCCUGAAGUCAUUCCUGUGCCCUUAAGAGGAAGAUGGAAGAUCCCCCCUCAUUUUUUGUCAUCACAGAAAUUCUGGUGUUGCUUCAGUCAGUGUGUCCCAUCCCACUGUGGCCUACGCUCAGGCCCUCUGUGCACUGCUGCUUGCUGGAGAAGACUGGACUCCGUUACCCCUGUCCUCCUCAUUCCCCUGGUGACUUUUGCUGCCUUAACUGGUGUUGUCAUUUUACAGACUGUAGCUUUACAGGAAUGCCACCUGCGUAAAGCUGCUGUGGACUGGGGAACACUGCCCUGGUUGUACAGAUCUCAGAAAUGGUUCCAUUUUCUGCUGGUUGUUCCAGAGAAAAACGACUGAUCCUGAACUGUCCUGGAAAAGACCUUGACACUUUCGCUGCUAUUGUAGCAGCCAUUACUGCUGCAGACAUUGUGUCUGCAGUGUCUGGAGUUAUCCUCCCCCGAUCUAUUGUUAGACAAACACAGUGGGUGAACUUUCUGGAGUAGUUACUAACAAUUGGGAAUUCUAAAAUUUUAUUAUAGGAGUGGCUUGACUACGGCCCUUGAUGGUAGCAGCUGAGGAGGACCAAAUGAGGUGCCCACUACUUAUCGGGAGUGGCUCUGUUUGGCGCAGCCCUAUGCUGUGGAUUAGUGUUCAUGCUAUGGUUGGUUUGCAAACUCAGAUCUCAACAGAAACGUGACAAGGCCGUUAUCACUCAAGCACUUGUGGCCAUUGAACAAGGGGCCUCCCCUAAAAUUUGGCUAUCUAUCUUCAAAAAUUAGUUGGUAUCUGAGUUCUCUGCUCUUGCCCCCCAUGGAUCUGUGGAUCCAUUGCACUGGGAUGAGAGAGACUCUCUCUCGGUAUCUGAGUUCCCUGCUCUUGCACCCCAUGGAUCUGUGGAUCCAUUGCACUGGGAUGAGAGAGACUCAAUGAUCCUUUGAUCAGCCCUUCCACAUUGCUGAGGUUUCCUCAUUGCACGCGAUAGGGUGAUCAUGAUAAAAUAAAUAAUAAGGGGGAGAUGUAGAGGGCCGCUAUAACAUUUGCCACCACAAGAUGGCGCUGGCUUCCACUGCGCACCAUGUGGAAGGCCAGGAUAGCUUCCGCCAUUACAAGAUGGCUCUGGCCUCCGCCGUGCCAGCCGACUUCCUUUCAGGAAGUUAACUGUGUGCGCAUGUACAAGAGUGUCUUCGUGCCAGGUCUUUGCCCACUCCGGGUCGUGCCUAAUGAGAUCAUGGGUAAGCGACCAAUCAGGUGUGGAUGUGCCGCGCUAGGGUGUAUAUAAGCCGCGCCAUGCGGGCGUGCGGGGCUUCUCCUUAAGAUUGAAUAAAAGUUUUGGCUGCAGCAAGGA